rnacentral:rRNA from 1 species
UUUAUGGAGAGUUUGAUCCUGGCUCAGAGUGAACGCUGGCGGCGUGCCUAAUACAUGCAAGUCGAACGAUGAAGCUUCUAGCUUGCUAGAAUGCUGAUUAGUGGCGCACGGGUGAGUAACGCAUAGGUCAUGUGCCUCUUAGUUUGGGAUAGCCAUUGGAAACGAUGAUUAAUACCAGAUACUCCCUACGGGGGAAAGAUUUAUCGCUAAGAGAUCAGCCUAUGUCCUAUCAGCUUGUUGGUAAGGUAAUGGCUUACCAAGGCUAUGACGGGUAUCCGGCCUGAGAGGGUGAACGGACACACUGGAACUGAGACACGGUCCAGACUCCUACGGGAGGCAGCAGUAGGGAAUAUUGCUCAAUGGGGGAAACCCUGAAGCAGCAACGCCGCGUGGAGGAUGAAGGUUUUAGGAUUGUAAACUCCUUUUGUUAGAGAAGAUAAUGACGGUAUCUAACGAAUAAGCACCGGCUAACUCCGUGCCAGCAGCCGCGGUAAUACGGAGGGUGCAAGCGUUACUCGGAAUCACUGGGCGUAAAGAGCGCGUAGGCGGGAUAGUCAGUCAGGUGUGAAAUCCUAUGGCUUAACCAUAGAACUGCAUUUGAAACUACUAUUCUAGAGUGUGGGAGAGGUAGGUGGAAUUCUUGGUGUAGGGGUAAAAUCCGUAGAGAUCAAGAGGAAUACUCAUUGCGAAGGCGACCUGCUGGAACAUUACUGACGCUGAUUGCGCGAAAGCGUGGGGAGCAAACAGGAUUAGAUACCCUGGUAGUCCACGCCCUAAACGAUGGAUGCUAGUUGUUGGAGGGCUUAGUCUCUCCAGUAAUGCAGCUAACGCAUUAAGCAUCCCGCCUGGGGAGUACGGUCGCAAGAUUAAAACUCAAAGGAAUAGACGGGGACCCGCACAAGCGGUGGAGCAUGUGGUUUAAUUCGAAGAUACACGAAGAACCUUACCUAGGCUUGACAUUGAGAGAAUCCGCUAGAAAUAGUGGAGUGUCUAGCUUGCUAGACCUUGAAAACAGGUGCUGCACGGCUGUCGUCAGCUCGUGUCGUGAGAUGUUGGGUUAAGUCCCGCAACGAGCGCAACCCCCUUUCUUAGUUGCUAACAGGUUAUGCUGAGAACUCUAAGGAUACUGCCUCCGUAAGGAGGAGGAAGGUGGGGACGACGUCAAGUCAUCAUGGCCCUUACGCCUAGGGCUACACACGUGCUACAAUGGGGUGCACAAAGAGAAGCAAUACUGCGAAGUGGAGCCAAUCUUCAAAACGCCUCUCAGUUCGGAUUGUAGGCUGCAACUCGCCUGCAUGAAGCUGGAAUCGCUAGUAAUCGCAAAUCAGCCAUGUUGCGGUGAAUACGUUCCCGGGUCUUGUACUCACCGCCCGUCACACCAUGGGAGUUGUGUUUGCCUUAAGUCAGGAUGCUAAACCAGCUACUGCCCACGGCACACACAGCGACUGGGGUGAAGUCGUAACAAGGUAACCGUAGGUGAACCUGCGGUUGGAUCACCUCCUUU